CACAAAUGUUCACCUAUCACCUCCUUUCACCAAGUUCUUUUCCAAAUGUUUUCUUCUUCUCUCAUUUUUCAGCCUUUGCUAAUUUAACAUUUUCUUCUGUUACUUCUUAUCUGGUUGGUCUUAGCUUCUUUUGCUAAAAAAACUUUCCUUCUGGUAUAUCAACAUUUAGAUGAUCAUGAAGUUUUCUUCACUCAUUGACUUGGUUUCCAAUUGUAAU